AUUGAACGCUGGCGGCAUGCUUUACACAUGCAAGUCGAACGGUAACAGGCCUUCGGGCGCUGACGAGUGGCGAACGGGUGAGUAAUGCAUCGGAACGUGCCCAGUCGUGGGGGAUAACGCAGCGAAAGCUGUGCUAAAACCGCAUACGAUCUAUGGAUGAAAGCGGGGGCCCGUAAGGCCUCGCGCGAUGGGAGCGGCCGAUGUCAGAUUAGGUAGUUGGGGGGGUAAAGGCUCACCAAGCCAACGAUCUGUAGCUGGUCUGAGAGGACGACCAGCCACACUGGAACUGAGACACGGUCCAGACUCCUACGGGAGGCAGCAGUGGGGAAUUUUGGACAAUGGGCGCAAGCCUGAUCCAGCAAUGCCGCGUGCAGGAAGAAGGCCUUCGGGUUGUAAACUGCUUUUGUACGGAACGAAACGGCGAGCUCUAAUACAGUUUGCUAAUGACGGUACCGUAAGAAUAAGCACCGGCUAACUACGUGCCAGCAGCCGCGGUAAGAC
rnacentral:rRNA from 1 species